rnacentral:rRNA from 1 species
CCUACGGGUGGCUGCAGUGAGGAAUAUUGGUCAAUGGACGGAAGUCUGAACCAGCCAUGCCGCGUGAAGGAAGACGGCUCUAUGUGUUGUAAACUGCUUUUGUACAAGGGUAAACCUGAAUACGUGUAUUCAGCUGAAAGUACUGUACGAAUAAGAAUCGGCUAACUCCGUGCCAGCAGCCGCGGUAAUACGGAGGAUCCAAGCGUUAUCCGGAUUUAUUGGGUGUAAAGGGUGCGUAGGCGGAUUGAUAAGUUAGAGGUGAAAUGUCCGGGCUUAACCCGGGAACUGCCUCUAAUACUGUUGAGCUAGAGAGUAGGUGCGGUAGGCGGAAUGUAUGGUGUAGCGGUGAAAUGCGUAGAGAUCAGACAGAACACCGAUUGCGAAGGCAGCUUACCAGUCUAUAUCUGACGUUGAGGCACGAAAGCGUGGGGAGCAAACAGGAUUAGAUACCCUUGUAGUC